CGCAAGCUUCGCUUUUGCGUCGUGUCCUUCAAAUCUUUCGCCGUCCUCUCUCUCUCUCUCUCGCUCUGUUUUCCGCUUCCGUUACUUUCCUCUUAAUUUAAGCGUAUCCUAUCUGCCGUCCUGCACGCUUCUCUCUCUGUGCUGGUCGCCUCGUCCUACGUGAAUCAUGGGCGAUCGCGGCCUCGAUCCGUCCGUCGCCUGAGGAGCGGAUCCUUCGCACGAACAGGGGCCGCAUUGAGGAGCCCAAGAGUGGAUCUUUCUUGAGGGGUUUGGGUUUCUUGGGGGGUUUGGAUUCUUGAAUGGCGAUAGAGGACGCGACCGAGAGCUGCGGCAGCCGGGCGGCGGCGGAUUCGUCCCACACCCACAACCGGCAGCAGCAGCGCCAUAAAAUGGACGUCUACAACGAGGUCCUCCGCCGCCUGAGGGAGGCAGGGCGGCCCGAGGUGCAGUCGCCGUCAUUCGAGGACGGGCUGUGGAACCAUUUCAAUCGCUUGCCGGCUCGGUAUGCCUUGGAUGUAAACGUGGAGAGGGCAGAGGAUGUACUGAUGCAUAAAAACUUGCUGGAACUGGCUCAAGAACCUGACAAUAGGCCCGUAUUUUCUGUUCGCUUGGUGCAGGUUACUCCAGUUCUUGAUGGAAACCAAGCUGAUUCUUCCGAUUCUAAUGCGCCAGAAAUGGGAGAUGCACAGUCUACUUCAACCUACAUCAGGCAAAGUGUUCAUCCUCCUCCUGCCUUUGGUUCGUCGCCUAAUCUCGAGGCUCUUGCUCUUGAAGCCAGCAGGCAACAAUACCAUGAUGGAGAUAGUGUUGCUAAUGCUCCACAAUUCCUGAGGCCAAUGCAUGAAAUUGCCUUUUCCACACAUGACAAGCCAAAGCUUCUAAGUUUGCUGACUUCUUUGCUUGCUGAGCUUGGCCUUAAUAUUCAAGAAGCGCAUGCAUUUUCAACAAAUGAUGGUUACUCAUUGGAUGUCUUUGUUGUUGAUGGUUGGCUUUAUGAGGAGACUGAGCGGCUUAGGGACUCGUUGCAGAAGGAACUUCAAAAGAUAGGGAGACAAGCUUGGUCAAAGUCUCAUCCAUGGUCUCCUCAACUUGAAAAUGCGCAAACUGGAGAGGGCGCUCUGCCUGACCAUGUCCCAAUACCAACAGAUGGGACUGAUGUAUGGGAGAUUGAUUUUCAGCUGCUGAAGUUUGGAUGUAAAGUAGCAUCUGGGUCAUAUGGUGAUCUUUAUCGUGGAACAUAUUGUAGUCAAGAUGUGGCAAUUAAAAUACUGAAGCCUGAGCGUGUAAAUGUUGAUAUGCAGCGAGAAUUUGCUCAGGAAGUCUUUAUCAUGCGGAAGGUUCGCCACAAGAAUGUGGUGCAGUUCAUUGGUGCAUGUACCAAACCUCCUAGUUUAUGUAUUGUUACAGAGUUUAUGUCAGGGGGAAGUGUCUAUGACUUCCUUCACAAACAGAAGGGAGUCUUUAAGCUUCCAGCUUUGCUACGAGUAGCAAUUGAUGUCUCAAAGGGAAUGAACUACUUGCACCAAAAUAACAUUAUCCACCGGGAUCUGAAGGCUGCCAAUCUUCUGAUGGAUGAGAACGAGGUUGUUAAGGUUGCAGAUUUUGGUGUUGCACGUGUUAAAGCAGAGUCUGGAGUCAUGACUGCUGAAACAGGAACAUAUCGCUGGAUGGCACCUGAGGUGAUAGAACACAAGCCCUAUGAUCACAAAGCUGAUGUUUUUAGCUUUGGAAUUGUAAUGUGGGAGUUGCUUACAGCUAAGCUCCCAUAUGAAUACUUAACACCACUCCAAGCUGCAGUAGGCGUGGUUCAAAAGGUGACACAUGUUGCUUUUCCUUCUAAUCUCUAUAGGGUUUGAGACCUACCAUUCCAAAGAAUACUCAUCCGAAACUUGCUGAGCUGCUGGAGAAGUGUUGGCAGCAAGACCCAGCUGUCAGGCCUGAUUUUUCGGAAAUACUGGAGACACUACAGCUUAUUGCUAAAGAGGUCAGAGAUGAAUCCAAUGAUCGCCGCAAGGAAAAAUCAUCAGGUGGAUUUCUCUCGGUUCUCAGACGUGGCCACUGAAUCUUUUUUGUUCUCCAUGAACCAAAUGCAGUUUAUGAUCUCAUCAUGGGUGAUUUCUGGUCUACCAAUGGUAGAGGUAGUGCUGUAGAACUGUACAGUGUUAAAUUUUGUGACCUGCUUCCUGGCUUUUAUCGAGUUGUAAUUCUUUUACCUUGCAUCACCUUCGUGCCGUUUUUUCCUCUUUUUAGUGCCUCAUCGACGUAGAAUGUAUUGAAUAGGACUGAUUGCAGCCAGUGUGAGAGUUGCUAAUCGUUUGAGCUAACAACUGAUGCUAUGUGUGCUUAAUUUAACUUUCUUUAGCUUGGCCAUUAAAUCUAA